CAGUCGCCGCGGUAAUACGUAGGGUGCAAGCGUUAAUCGGAAUUACUGGGCGUAAAGCGUGCGCAGGCGGUUAUAUAAGACAGAUGUGAAAUCCCCGGGCUCAACCUGGGAACUGCAUUUGUGACUGUAUAGCUAGAGUACGGCAGAGGGGGAUGGAAUUCCGCGUGUAGCAGUGAAAUGCGUAGAUAUGCGGAGGAACACCGAUGGCGAAGGCAAUCCCCUGGGCCUGUACUGACGCUCAUGCACGAAAGCGUGGGGAGCAAACAGGAUUAGAUACCCCCGUAGUCCCUGUCUCUUAUAU
rnacentral:rRNA from 1 species